GUUGUGAUAGUUGAGUUGGUCUAAGGUGCUUGAUUAAAGUUUUGGUUCGAAAGGGUGUGGGUUCAAAUCCCACUCUCAAUA
rnacentral:tRNA from 1 species